AAGCACAUUUCAUUGUCUUGUUCUUGAUGUCUGUAAGAGUAAAGAUAUUUCUGAUGUGCUAGAUAAACAGAUGAAGGUCAAUUAGCAGUAUGACAAAUAUUGUCNUCACUGUCAGUCACCUUCAAACAAUC
rnacentral:snoRNA from 1 species